rnacentral:rRNA from 1 species
UACAGAGGUCUCAAGCGUUUGUUCGGAUUCAUUGGGCGUAAAGGGUGCGUAGGCGGUCGCGGUAAGUCGGGUGUGAAAUCUCGGAGCUUAACUCCGAAACUGCAUUCGAUACUGCCGUGCUUGAGGACUGGAGAGGAGACUGGAAUUUACGGUGUAGCGGUGAAAUGCGUAGAUAUCGUAAGGAAGACCAGUGGCGAAGGCGGGUCUCUGGACAGUUCCUGACGCUGAGGCACGAAGGCCAGGGGAGCAAACGGG